CCCUGGACUAACCGUCUGUGUCAGUUGUCAGAACAACCAAGUCUACUUGCAGUUGUGUUUUGACACCCAAAAUGUAAGAGAAUAUUAACUUUCUGGAAGAUUAAUGGUUCCACAAACUUUGUUGGCAUGUUCCUCUGAAGAAUUUUGUUUUUGAAAAUUGCCGGAAUAGAUUAAAUGAAAUGAUGGUUGAAGGAUGUAGCAGGAGAGUAAUUACUGGAAACCAAAUUGGUUAUUCAUUAAUCACUCGGUUGCAGCUACGGGUAAUUGGACAGUUUGAUCUUGUGGCAAAGUUAAUUGGCUAUCCUUAUUUACAAAUACUGAUUUGUGCUCGUCUACCUUGGACAUUCAUUUUAUAAUUACUAGUAUAAAAUAUGAAUGA
rnacentral:lncRNA from 1 species